rnacentral:rRNA from 1 species
UACGAAGGGGGCUAGCGUUGUUCGGAAUCACUGGGCGUAAAGCGCACGUAGGCGGAUCUUUAAGUCAGGGGUGAAAUCCCGAGGCUCAACCUUGGAACUGCCUUUGAUACUGGAGAUCUUGAGUCCGGGAGAGGUGAGUGGAACUGCGAGUGUAGAGGUGAAAUUCGUAGAUAUUCGCAAGAACACCAGUGGCGAAGGCGGCUCACUGGCCCGGUACUGACGCUGAGGUGCGAAAGCGUGGGGAGCAAACAGG